UGGGGAAUAUUGGACAAUGGGCGCAAGCCUGAUCCAGCCAUGCCGCGUGAGUGAUGAAGGCCCUAGGGUUGUAAAGCUCUUUCACCGGUGAAGAUAAUGACGGUAACCGGAGAAGAAGCCCCGGCUAACUUCGUGCCAGCAGCCGCGGUAAUACGAAGGGGGCUAGCGUUGUUCGGAUUUACUGGGCGUAAAGCGCACGUAGGCGGACUUUUAAGUCAGGGGUGAAAUCCCGGGGCUCAACCCCGGAACUGCCUUUGAUACUGGCAGUCUUGAUUAUCGUAGAGGUGACUGUAAUUCCGAGUGUAGAGGCGACAUUCGUAGAUAUUCGGUGGAACACCAGUGGCUAAGGCGGCUCACUGGACCAUUACUGACGCUGAGGUGCGAAAGCGUGGGGAGCAAACAGG
rnacentral:rRNA from 1 species